rnacentral:rRNA from 1 species
GACGUAGGUGGCGAGCGUUACCCGGAUUCACUGGGCGUAAAGGGCGCGUAGGCGGUUUGGCAAGUCGCCUGCGAAAGCCCCCGGCUCAACUGGGGGAGGUCGGGCGAAACUGCUAGGCUGGAGGACGGCAGAGGAAGGUGGAACGACCGGAGUAGCGGUGAAAUGCGUAGAUACCGGUCGGUAUCCCGAUGGCGAAGGCAACCUUCUGGGUCGUUCCUGACGCUGAGGCGCGAAAGCGUGGGGAGCAAACCGG